rnacentral:lncRNA from 1 species
GUCGAGUUGUGGCCCUAAAUAGAUUUGUAUCAAAGAUGACAGACAAGUGCAUGCCUUUCUUCAACGCUCUGAAGGCACCGUAACAAUGGUCAGAGAAGUUUCAAGCCUUGUUUGAAUAGUUGAAAGAUUAUUUCAACACCCUUCCCCCCUCGUUAUAAGCAUCUUCCUCGCUGGGUGACUAUCUGUUUUUUGUAUUUAGCAGCCUUCGAUGAGACAAUGGCAGAUGUGUUAAUAAACAAAGUUCAUAGGCAGC